GCCUAAAGAGAAGCUUGCGGCUGAUUAGCUUGUUGGUGAGGUAAUGGCUCACCAAGGCGACGAUCAGUAUCUGGUUUGAGAGGAUGAUCAGACACACUGGAACUGAGACACGGUCCAGACUCCUACGGGAGGCAGCAGUGGGGAAUUUUCCGCAAUGGGCGAAAGCCUGACGGAGCAAUACCGCGUGAGGGAUGACUGCCUAUGGGUUGUAAACCUCUUUUUUCAGGGAGGAAUCAAUGACGUGUACCUGAAGAAUAAGCAUCGGCUAACUCCGUGCCAGCAGCCGCGGUAAGACGGAGGAUGCAAGUGUUAUCCGGAAUCACUGGGCGUAAAGCGUCUGUAGGUGGUCCAAUAAGUCAACUGUUAAAUCUUGAGGCUUAACCUCAAAAUCGCAGUCGAAACUGUUAGACUAGAGUAUAGUAGGGGUAAAGGGAAUUUCCAGUGGAGCGGUGAAAUGCGUAGAUAUUG
rnacentral:rRNA from 1 species